CGUGUAGGCGGGAAUGCAAGUCAGAUGUGAAAUACCGAGGCUUAACUUCGGGGCUGCAUCUGAAACUGCGUUUCUUGAGUGCUGGAGAGGAAAGCGGAAUUCCUAGUGUAGCGGUGAAAUGCGUAGAUAUUAGGAGGAACACCAGUGGCGAAGGCGGCUUUCUGGACAGUAACUGACGCUGAGGCGCGAAAGCGUGGGGAGCAAACAGGAUUAGAUACCCUGGUAGUCCACGCUGUAAACGAUGGAUACUAGGUGUAGGAGGUAUCGACCCCUUCUGUGCCGGAGUUAACACAAUAAGUAUCCCACCUGGGGAGUACGGCCGCAAGGUUGAA
rnacentral:rRNA from 1 species